UGAGUAACCUGCCCUUAACUCUGGGAUAAGCCUGGGAAACUGGGUCUAAUACCGGAUAUGACUCCUCAUCGCAUGGUGGGGGGUGGAAAGCUUUUUGUGGUUUUGGAUGGACUCGCGGCCUAUCAGCUAGUUGGUGGGUAAUGGCCCACCAAGGCUACGAUCAGUAGCUGGUCUGAGAGGAUGAUCAGCCACAUUGGGACUGAGACACGGCCCAAACUCCGUACGGGAGG
rnacentral:rRNA from 1 species